ACUCCUACGGGAGGCAGCAGUGGGGAAUCUUGGACAAUGGGGGCAACCCUGAUCCAGCCAUGCCGCGUGAGUGAUGAAGGCCUUAGGGUCGUAAAGCUCUUUCGCCUGUGAUGAUAAUGACAGUAGCAGGUAAAGAAACCCCGGCUAACUCCGUGCCAGCAGCCGCGGUAAUACGGAGGGGGUUAGCGUUGUUCGGAAUUACUGGGCGUAAAGCGCGCGUAGGCGGAUUAGUCAGUUAGAGGUGAAAUCCCAGGGCUCAACCCUGGAACUGCCUUUAAUACUGCUAGUCUUGAGUUCGAGAGAGGUGAGUGGAAUUCCGAGUGUAGAGGUGAAAUUCGUAGAUAUUCGGAGGAACACCAGUGGCGAAGGCGGCUCACUGGCUCGAUACUGACGCUGAGGUGCGAAAGUGUGGGGAGCAAACAGGAUUAGAUACCCUGGUAGCGUCGUC
rnacentral:rRNA from 1 species